GAAGUUCAAAUGAUGAUUAAUUGCAUAGUUCAAAUGACUGUUUGUGAUUAGAAAUUAUUUAGUCUUUCGCUCCUAUCUGAUGAACUUU
rfam:Helianthus annuus linkage group 6, whole genome shotgun sequence.